GGACCCGCGGUGCAUUAGCUAGUUGGUAGGGUAAUGGCCUACCAAGGCAACGAUGCAUAGCCGACCUGAGAGGGUGAUCGGCCACACUGGGACUGAGACACGGCCCAGACUCCUACGGGAGGCAGCAGUAGGGAAUCUUCGGCAAUGGACGAAAGUCUGACCGAGCAACGCCGCGUGAGUGAAGAAGGUUUUCGGAUCGUAAAACUCUGUUGUUAGAGAAGAACAAGGAUGAGAGUAAAAUGUUCAUCCCAGACG
rnacentral:rRNA from 1 species